AUUCCUCUGCUAACCCUCCUGCACCCGCUAACCCUAGCCUUGUUUGCCUACCCUCCCCUCGUUCUCCCUUGCCCUGGUCUAGAAGAAAAGUCGCCGCGUUCCCCCUUUGCCUGAUGAAAUCCCCUUCUCGUCUAGAUCUGAGCCUGAACUUACUUAUUAUUCCUUUCUCCAUGCCUAGCCUUGUGGUUUCUGGAUUGCAUGCUUGUUUCGAUCGAGCAACGGUGAAUCUGGCUCUGUUAUUUGUUUGUUGGAAACGUUUUUUUUUUUUGAUGAUGAUGUGCAGGUUACGAGCUAGUUGGUUCGAAUGAUGAGAUGGCGAAUCGGCUUGAAGCGAGACGAGGCCGCACGGUUUGCGUGCUCGGAGGAUCCUGAUCUGCGUGAUUGGCGCGUUGGAUCUGAUGUUGAGCUGGGACGUUCCCGUUUCCGGCGAGAUCUGGAUCCCGAUGGACGACUGGAAGGCGUCGAAGCGUGGCCCGUUUGCUGGAUCUAUCUUCUGCACCGAGCCUGUCGAUGAUCUCUUUGUAUUGAUAAUUAUUCGAUGAAAUUUCGAUAAUUAUUAGAUCUGAGAGAUGUUGGUCGGAGCUAUCAGUGCCUAACUGAAGGCAAGGUAAGGUAAACACAUGUAACUACAGAGUUGCGUGUGUCGAGAGGGGGGAAAAGAUGCAGAGGAGAGAAAAAAAUGUGAAAAAAAGUGAGAUGUGACAUCUGAAGGCCUUUGCCAUGAUGGGUGCGCUCGCAUGGCAGGCCACCAUAAUAAAGAUGUGGUUUCGUGUGCUGGGUGGGAGAUCGCACAGGGAGUUGUUUUUCAUCCCUGGGUUCUCCCAACCUUUGUGUCCCUGUGCCCUGCUUCAUGUUGUUGGCUUCUCGUCUUACGCAUCAUCAUCACGGCGUGCUGCAAAUUGAACGGAGCUACAGCGCAACACACAAGGUACAACUGGAUCUAAAUUCUAAAUUUUCAAUUUACGUUGCAAUUUAGAACGCACAAAUUUAUUUAAAUCCAUGUAUGUACACCUGCCCAAAGUUACAGAAAGCGUCACCAAUCGUCUAACUUUACACACCUACACUGCUCCGUCCAUACUUUUCACUCAUCCAACGCUUGUCUCCCAUGACGCCAUAAAGCACUAACACAGCACUAACAAAUGCGGGAGGUGUCAGCCUAUGGACCAUUUGACCAUUUCGACGACGAUAGACAUUUAACUGCAUAAUUUUGGGGAUAGCAUCUGAAAUGUAGAGAUCAAGUAUAAAUGAAAUUAGUGAUGAAGUAUUCAUUAUCUGGUUAGUUUAUUUAACUCUGAUGUCUGAAAAUUUGGGCAAUUCCAGUUUCACACAAUAUUAUAAAAUCGUGAUCCAAACAGAUAACUAUUUGCUAAUUGAUUAGUCUAUUGUCCUACGGCUGAACUAUUCGCUAGUUGAAUUGUCUAUUGUCCUACGGCAAAAUUAUUCGCUAGUUAAAUUGUCUAAUGUAAUGUGGCUGUCCAUGUGGACUUGUCUGCUACUAUUAUUCUUUCAUUGUCAUUUAAGAACGGGUCUCAAGGCAUCAUGAAAGAUUGUUCUUUGUUUCUUGGUAAUGUCGAGUUAUAUAUUGUACCUAUAGAUAGAAAAGAUUAGCUGUGUACCUGUUUAAUGUACUCGAGAUGCCUGGUUGCAGUCAUUUUAUUUGUAAUUAGCUUGUACUAUGAUUUAUUGUCGUCCGAUAAAAGCUUCAUGAAGAUGUGCUGUACCAUAUGAAGAUCCCCAGCCCAUCUUGAGGGUGAUGGUGUUUGUAUAUGACGUCUAUGAAGAUCAACUGCUGUGCCUACAUGGUAACGAUGGAGAGUUUGUAUAUGAUGUCUAUGAAGAUCAACUGCAGUGUCUCCAUGGAGGUGGUGGAGUAUUUAUAUGCUGUGUGAAGAUCUACUGCUCGGUAUACAUUGUCGGUAUGAAAUUGCUAUGGUCUUCCAAGCUUUCUUUCUUGGUCACUGGACAUUGAGAACUGAUCUGCUCAAGCACACUUAGAUCAACUCUGAUUAAGAGUUUACUGAACUUGCAUGAUAAUGUUCAUUUCAGUAUGCCUAUUAUAGAUCUUCUGAGCUGAAGCUAGGUUUCAAGUAUUGGUGAAAGCCAUUUGAUGAAAUGAAGCUAGGUUUCGUGCAAGUGAGCCAAUUUGAUUGGUCAGAAGGUAGAAUAGCCCCAAGUAGCGGUACCAAAUGGAUCCCUUAUGACAGAAUGGAUUCUCUCCAUUUUUGCAUGUGUGACAUGAAUCUUUGAUAUAGCUUGCUCGGAAUCGAUUGCUGCUGCUGCAGCAGCAACCACUCCUACCUCUUCAUACCCUGAAGAGACCUAGCAGCGGCUGGUGUAGUAGCGCAGCUGUGCAGAGGCAGAAGGGAUGAGACUUGGAAUAAGAAAUUAUUCUGCUAAAUACGCUGCAAAUGGAUCUGUUGUUUUCUCUAUUUUCCAGGAUAUGAUGCUUUGCUCUAGUUUGAGCUUCUGGACUUAAUAUUCGAAAAUAGCAUCUCGUUUUAAUAUUUGAAAAUUGCAUCUUGUUUUAUUGGUUGUUUGCUCAAUUCAACUAUUUGACCCGAAGGUUCUUUUUUUUUGCCAA